UACGUAGGGUGCGAGCGUUGCCCGGAUUUAUUGGGCGUAAAGGGCGCGUAGGCGGCCACGCACGUCCGUUGUGAAAUCGCCCGGCUCAACUGGGCGGGGUCGGCGGAUACGGCGUGGCUGGAGCAAGCUAGGGGAGAAUGGAAUUCCCGGUGUAGCGGUGAAAUGCGCAGAUAUCGGGAGGAACACCGGUGGCGAAGGCGGUUCUCUGGGCCUUACCUGACGCUGAGGAGCGAAAGCGUGGGGAGCGAACAGG
rnacentral:rRNA from 1 species